rnacentral:rRNA from 1 species
AGUGAACGCUGGCGGUAGGCCUAACACAUGCAAGUCGAACGGCAGCACAGGAGAGCUUGCUCUCUGGGUGGCGAGUGGCGGACGGGUGAGGAAUACAUCGGAAUCUACUCUGUCGUGGGGGAUAACGUAGGGAAACUUACGCUAAUACCGCAUACGACCUACGGGUGAAAGCAGGGGACCUUCGGGCCUUGCGCGAUUGAAUGAGCCGAUGUCGGAUUAGCUAGUUGGCGGGGUAAAGGCCCACCAAGGCCACGAUCCGUAGCUGGUCUGAGAGGAUGAGCAGCCACACUGGAACUGGAACACGGUCCAGACUCCUACGGGAGGCAGCAGUGGGGAAUAUUGGACAAUGGGCGCAAGCCUGAUCCAGCCAUACCGCGUGGGUGAAGAAGGCCUUCGGGUUGUAAAGCCCUUUUGUUGGGAAAGAAAUCCAGUUGGCUAAUACCCGGUUGGGAUGACGGUACCCAAAGAAUAAGCACCGGCUAACUUCGUGCCAGCCGCCGCCGUAA